GCGGAGAUGAGGAGGCCAGUUGGUAGAUGAUCCACUUGGGAUGUUCGCAUCUUGCGGCGGUUUCUUCUCUCAGAAUAAGCAACGUGAAGUUCCCCAGUGGAACCUGAAGGAAGACUCUUGUUUCUAGAAUGGCUUUUCGUACUCUCGUCACAAGAGGGCACCAGCCUCUGGCAAAGGAUUGUUUUUGUUUUUCAUCUCAAGCGGGGGCAACCAUCUUUACUUCGGAGGAUGAGAGGAGCACAAUUAAAAGAUACUUGGAGCAAUACGUUUAAGCUGGACUCCUCCUCUGCAAACCGGGACACGAGCUCACACGCUGCCUGGCACAAUAGAGCACAGCCAGGUUAAUUAUGAUCUAGCUCUACGCCAAAGGCUCUCAUUCCCUCAAAUCAUGACACAGAGUAGAAGGAGAAAAGUGACCCAGCUGGCUUUUAUCUUGGAGAUCAAGAAAGACUUUCUCCUCCACCCAGUUCCCUACCUGGGAACUUCCAUAUGCCACAGAGGCAGGCCCCCGCUCCCCCUCCCCCCCCUGCAAAAAAAGAAAGAAAACGGCUAUUUUUUUUUUCUUCUUCUAGUUUUAUUGAGAUAUUACUGACAUCUAGCACUGUAUGUCUGAGGUUUACAGCAUAGUGGUUUGAUUUACAUACAUCAUGAAGUGUUAUGACAAAAAGUUUAUCAUCUCAAAUGGGUACAAGAUUCAGGAGUCAUCUUAUUAUCAUAAGCUCGAGUAUGGUUGAAAGGGGAUGGUUGUAAAUAACAAAAGAUGCUCCUGUCACUCAAGACAUUACAAGAGUUUUAGAAGCUGUGUCAGGAACCGAGGACAAAGACCAAAUAUAUAUUUCUUACUGUAUUUCACAUGUCACUCUUGAAAACAGACCAUCAGCUUCUAGGCACCUGGAGAAUCUGAGGAUGGGGGUUGGUUGCCUGAGAAACCAACCAUAUGAUUGGAAGGUUGAACUUUCAGCCUCACCCCCCAACCUCCAGGGAGGGGAGAGGACUAGAAGUUGGGUUCAUCAGCAGUGACCAAAUAUAUAAUCAAUCAUGCCUUACAUAAUGGAACCUCCAUAAAACCCUCUAAAUGAUGGGGUUCAGAGAGUUUCAGGGUUGAACACGUCAGGGUGCUGAGAGGGUGGUGUCCCCAGAGAGGGCAUGGAAUUCCAAGCCACUUCUUCCAUCCUGGCCCUAUGUAUCUCUUCUAUUUGGCUGUACUUGAGUUGUAUCCUUUAUAUUAUUAUUAUUAUUUUUGUCUUUUUGCCAUUUCUAGGGCUGCUUCCCGCAGCAUAUGGAGGUUCCCAGGCUAGGGGUCUAAUCAGAGCCGUAGCCACCGGCCUACGCCAGAGCCACAGCAACAUGGGAUCUGAGACUCGUCCGCCACCUACACCACAGCUCACGGCAACGCUGGAUCCUUAACCCACUGAGCAAGGCCAGGGAUUGAACCUGCAACCUCAUGGUUCUUAGUCGGAUUCGUUAACCACUGAGCCAUGACGGGAACUCCGAGUUGUAUCCUUUAUAAUAAACCAGAACUAGUAACUUGUUUGCCCAAGUUCUGUGAGCUGUUCUAGCAAGUUGUCCAACUGGAGGGGACCUUGGGAACACCUGAUUUGUAGCUGGUGAUGUAGGACUUGCAACUGGUGUCAGAAGUGAGAGCAGUUUUGCAAGAUCGACCCUUAACCUGUGCAACCUAUGUUAAUUCUGGGAAGUUGAUAUCAGAAUUGAAUUGAAUUGUAGCACCUCCAGUUGGUGUCUGGACUGCUGCCAGUUGGAGAAUUGGUUGGUGUAAGAAAACCCCCAGGUAUUUGGUGUCAGAAGAGUUGUGAGUAAAAGCAGUUCAGAUGUGGUAACAAGCAAGGCGUGCUGUAUCUCUGAGCUUCCGUGGGCCACCCAGAGCUUUCCAGUAUAUCGGGACUAAAGCAAAUGGAGCCUCCUCCUGAUCCUUUGGGGCAUUCAUUCAGAUUCUGAAGCCCUGAAAGACAAGCACCCUGCCAGGGAAUGUUAGUGUUUCCGUGUAAGUCAGCUACAGUAACAAAGCAGCAUGUCAUGUGCCUUGUGGACAUCAGACAUGGGAGGGGACACAGUAGAAGGGCUUUGGAAGAUGUGUGUCAGAGUGCGAUCCCAGAAACUAGUUGGAAGCUGGAGGUCCUGCGUCAUGGAGAGAGAGGCAUCCGUCAGUGAAAUUCAGAUAAUCACCAUCCCUGUAGCCUCACACGUACCCCCCCAAGCUGGUGCUUCUUAGAGAAAUUUCAAAGUUAUACCAAUAGCCAAGAGUACAUGGCCCAAGAGACACAGGUGGUGAGCUGGCUUCUCAGAAUUCCGAAAUGGAUUACUGAGCAAACGGUACGUGGCUGUAUGGGCACGUGGAAAGACUGAGGGGCUAGGACAAGGACUGUAAGGACCACUUGUAGCAAACCAGUAGUAUUUCUUUUCGGAGUAGUGGUUUUACUUUGUUAAAUUAAGAGAGGCUUUAAUCUGGAGUAUAGUGUCCAUAGACUAUCAAGGAGACAACCUGUUUAAGAGUGAAUUAUUUUGGAAAUGAAACACAAAGUUAUGGGGGUGUUUUCUCCCUCCUACUGUAGUUAGAAUUUAUAUAACAUUACUGAAAAACACUUGUAGUCAGUCAUUAAAUGUGUACGUUUAUUAAUAGUUUCUUCUCUAGAGGGUGCCUUUGAAAAGGCUCAACUUGAAGAAUUACUAGUGCAGGAGUUCCUGUUGUGGCUCAGUGGUUAACAAAUCCGACUAGGAGCCAUGAGGUUGCAGGUUCAAUCCCUGGCCUCGCUCAGUGGGUUAAGGAUCUGGCUUUGCCAAGGGCUGUGGUGUAGGUCACAGACACGGCUCCGAUCCCGCGUUGCUGUGGCUCUGGUAUAGGCCAGUGGCUACAGCUCCGAUUGGACCCCUGGCCUGGGAACCUCCAUAUGCCGCAGGUG
rnacentral:lncRNA from 1 species